rnacentral:misc_RNA from 1 species
AUUAUACAAGGACUUCAUGAUUCAGCCCCCAUGGGAUACGGAAGUUGGCAAGAAGUUCAUAAUUCAUUACACUUAUGGAUGUGACUAUGAUAUGAAGGGUAAACUAACAUAUGGAAGGAUUGGAGAAUGGAGGUUUGACAAAAGAUCCUUUGACAGUGUUGCACCCCCUAGGAACCUUUCGUUGCCUCCACCUGGUGUUCCAGAAAGUGUGGUGACUUUGGUGAAAAUGGUGAAUGAAGCCACAGCAAAUAUUCCUAACUGGGGAUCAUAGAAGAUUUUAGGAUGGCAGCUGUCAAGACAUCACUAUUUAUUU